AUACAUGACAAAAUACGACUUGCCAGACCUAUUUUCUCUGCUUUUCUACCUUUUUUCUUCUCUGAUGUCCAGCUGAAGAAUGCCCGAACCUAGGAAGCUUUAGCCCAGAAGGAAUUCUAUCCAAAGAAUUUAUGAGCAACUUGAAAAGAGGAGGCAGUGAGGAGAAACUAAAAGCCAGAUGUAGCUGCAGCUCGAGAUGGCUCGGAGCUGAGUUUCAGGUCUUGCAGGGGCUCUGACUGGGAGCUGUUGGAUUUCUGCAGGGUCCACAGGCGGGUAUUGAGGCAACGGUGAACUUUUGAUGGCUUCUUUUCCUGGUCUUGUGCCCAUCCAACAGGGAGGAUCUGACUGUCUCUCAUCAACCUCGUGCUUCUGGAUGCUGCUCUAAGGAAGAGAGGAACAGGGAUCAGCAAACAGAGCUGUGAGACGCUCUGAAAUGCUGCACUUGGGAGCUGGGAAACGCCGCCGAGACAUGCUCCUUUUGAAGACACAUCAUGGGAGCGUGGCUCCAGAGGAGGAAACAACUCAGAAUGCACAGCCACCUCCUUCCCGCUUCCCACCCGCCCAGCUUCACGUGCAGUGGGGAAGGAAGCAGCCCCAGGGAAACACCCUGGUCUGCAUUUCCAUCUGGGCACAGUCUGACACAGCCCUGGGAACGGCCAGGCACAGCGGGAUCUUCCACCCUUCGCAAUCAAAGCAAGGCAAAAGCUCCCUCUCCUUUUCCCCUGUUGCCAAAGGGCAGAAAUCCCACCGAGAUCCAAAGCGUAUCAUUCCAGUGGGAGAUUUCCCCUGGGAGGAUUGGGUAUUUGAUGACUGGCUUGUUCUGUAAGGUCUCAAUAUCCCCUUUUUUUCUCUGUACAGCAGAGGAACAUGCACGAGAGCGGAGCUGCGCCGUUCGCGCAGCGAGCAGUGAUUCUUCAACUCAGGAAGCUCUGAGAGGGAUCUGCAUCAGGAAGAGGAGCAAGCCGAGCCUUGCAGAAGAUACAGAGACAUUCAACCUGCCUGCUUCUCCCAUGGGAGACAGGAGCUGAGCAGUACCCAUGGGACAAACACCAGGAGAUGUCCAACUGCCUGGAAAAGGAGCUGCUUUGGGGACCAUCCCAGCACUGAAAUCGGGAUGGAGCUGACCUGAAGGAGUAAGAGUCUGCAAGCCCAGGAGAAGGCAGGAGCAGCCCAAAUCCUUGUGGAUGAGCAGUUUAAUGCAGGGAUGGUCUUCCGGAUCCAUGCUUCCACAGCACCUAUCACUGCAAGGGCUCGUGUGUCCUCCCUCCUGCUUGUCUUGCAGCAGCCAGCUCCACUCAUUGCAUCUGAAAGGUGACAACAGGCCAAUCCUCCCAUGUCAGCAGACUCCUCAAAGCUCUCUUAAGCCCUUCCAAUGGCCACGGAUCCAAUUCCAAGUCAGUUCCCCACGUUUGGCUAAACUCAGGCAGCUUUCAAAGCUAAAAGUGAUUCCUUGCACAAUCCAAAGCGUGGGCUUCCUUUGCUUGGAAUCCAAACACAGGAGGCGUUUUCCAAGGAGAUAUUUUGGGGGGAAAAAGCAUGAAUAUGUGGCAAAUCUUGCAAGCAACACCGAUGGAGCCCUUUCCCCAGGGAGGAGCUUCAUUCACUGCUGGCAUUGCCACGCAUACCAGUGGUCACCCCCAUCGGACACGUGGCUCAUCACGAAACAGGAUUCUCUGCAUGGGCCUUUGGGAAUGCUUCACCUCCGGGCACAUCAGUGCACAAAUACCCUCUUAGAUGCACAAGGCAGCACAAGGAAUCCCAGUGGUUUUCCCAUGGACCAGCAGGACCCAGGAGCCGACAGUUGAUCCCCAUGGUGGUGGCUGAGAAGCUUCCCAGCACUUCCAAAACACUGAAGAAAAGCAAUUUCCCCUGUUCCUGGAUAGCACCUGGGGCCUGUUCUUCCUUUUUACAGACUCAGCUGCUUUCCAGCUUCCCCUGCACGUUUGUAGCAGCCUUAACAUCAAACUGUUAACACCCCGCCUGGCUCUCAGCCACCAUCCCACCGGGAAUGUGUCCGCAGGGAUGGAUGGAGCAGCAUCCUUUGCUCAGUCAGGGAUGGGAAUGCUUUUUCCUCACGUGCUCCAUGUGGAUGGGGCUGUGAUGGGGAGUUGCUGCUUCUCCCAGGGGCUGUUUGAGGGCUGGUAAAGCCCUGCAGAAGGGCACAGAGGGAUUUCAGUCCACCUUGGAUGGCUUUUAACAGAGGGUGCGAAGAGCAUCCCAUAGCCCCACAUGAAGCUUGUGCCCACGAGAUCAUGGAACCAUAGAACAGGCUCGGUUAGGAAAGACUUCAGGAUCAUCAGGAGAUGCUGGAGGACAGCAGGAGCUGCCCCUCUUCUUGGGAUCGUGCAGGAAGUUUCCUUUCCAUCUGCACAGCCCAAGCCUAACAUCAGAUCUCACAGCUCUGGCUCUCAUGGGGGGAUUUUCAGCUCUAACAAAGAGCAGCUUUUCCUGCUUCUGACCAAAUCCAAACAGUUACAGAGGAAAAAAAGCAAGGAAAGAAAGAAAUCCAGGCCAGGAAGGAAAUCACCACGUGCUUUCAUAGCUUGGUAGCACUUUGUGAAGGGUUUCAGCCCUCUACUGUCCUUUGCUAUUCAACUUGGAGAGGGACCAGUGGGACGAUGCGAUGAAGAGACUUCCCAGAGACCAACUGUUCCAUGUGAUAUCCACCCUUCCUGAUGGAUAUUUGUUUGGAAAAGAGAGUGAGCUCUAAGUGAUGAUGGAUGUUGACAGGCCCCAGGGUGGACUUAUUUAUGGUGAAACAAUUGGGAACUGAAGACUAAGAACCUCUUCUCAUCCAGAGGGACAACUGGCUGCUGCUUUGCACUCCAGCACUGACUUACUGUGGGACCUCGGUCAUGUCAUCUCAUCUUCCUUGUUUCAUCUGGGAUGCUCAUGGAGAUGCUGCCUUUCCCCAUCCAACAGGCUCUGGAAAGCCAAGGAUCAGUGUUUUUCAAGGCAGUAGCCACAGUGAUGUUUUCUUCCCUGUGUUCCUGCAUGUCUAAAUCCCGAGCUCUUUUCAUUUCUUGGGAAAGCAUCUGGUUUCCAGCUCCGGGUCUCUCCAAUCUGUCAUUUUACACAAAUAUACAAACAUCCCUCUUUGUGGAUGAUGGAUUAAGGCUGCACUUUGGCUUGGAUCACACAGCCCAGACUGGAAAAGGGGCUUUGAAGUCCUGAAAACUCCACAUUCCUGUAGUGGCAGCAGAACAGCACACAGGAGAGAUGGACAUGCUGGGAAACAGACUCCUUUACGCUGCUCCAGAGUCAUCCCGUAUAACAUUGCACACUUGGUCAGUACACCUAAAGGGCAUCAUUACCCUCUGCUUCCUCUGCGGUCCUGUCCAUGCGGAACACCCACAGAAAGCCUCAGGGAUCGGCAGGGAUGAGCAAGACCACAUGGAGAAGAGGUUGUUUGCCAGUUCAGCAAAGCAAUGAGGAUGUCCCAUGUCACCUCCAGGCAAUAUUAAAAGGAAAAAUGGGAAGAGGCAGCUGGAAGUUAACCCUUGCUGGGGCUGCAUCCCCACCCCAUGGAGGGGGAGGAGGAAAAGGAUGACCCAGGAGGAAUCAGAAACAGGAGUCCUGGUGCUCUGUGGCUCUGCAGCAGCAGGAAGAAUGCAAAAGCGAGAUGGAAGAGGAGGCACAGUGUGGUACCCAAAGCAAAGCAAGGGGCAGGGAUGUGCCUUUGUGAUGGGUUGGUUGUUCUUCACUGAAAGGAAGCAAGCCCAUUGACUCCUCCACACAUGCACAUGAAGUGCUGAGUGCUUUUCUUGGUCAGGUCCAAAUGGGAAGCGUUGGUAGUGACUGGGAAACCACCUUCUGUUGGAUUCCUAUAGGUCAUUGGGGC